AAUCCCUAAUUUCCCAUGGCCGACAAUAUGUUCUCAGUUGCCACUCUCCAACAAGCACUCUGCACUCCCAUGGCUGAUGAGACCCCAAAGGCCACUCCACAGCCUCUCACUCCCUUCUCCGCCGUGAAUUAACUAAUAUUUAAUUUGGUACAAAAAUUAAGUAUCACUCCCUUCUCACUCCCUUAUGAUUAUUUGUAAUAAUACGCUCUGCUCUUGCACCUUUUUUACAGCUGAGCUUCUUAUGUUUGAAAUGCGGGAGACGGAAAGAAAAAUAUCUUCGUUGCCUUUUGGCCUUACUUGAUCUGAUUUUUUUAUUCCUUUGCAAAUCAAAUUUCUAAGCUUUUGAUCUCUGCUUCAAACAGUUCUUAGCAAAAAAUAGGGUAUAUAGGAUCACAUGGUGUACAAGCUUUGAAAAUAUACAAAUACAGCGGUGUGGAUCACUCUUACCUUGCUAAAUAUGUAUUACAACCCUUUUGGAGCCGUUUUGUUAACUUCUUCCCUCUUUGGAUGCCACCAAACAUGGUAUGUAAUGCUUACUACUUCUAAAUUGUGAUUUUCUAUUAACAUACAAACUCGGACAUGCUUAUACAUGUAUAUGCAUGUUUACUAUUACACCUGAUUUAUUUGAUUACUAAAUUGGUAUGCUUUUGUUUCUUAAGAUAACACUUACAGGAUUUAUGUUCUUGGUUACCUCAGCAGUGCUUGGCUAUGUGUGCUGGUGAACUAGCUAUUUCCAUGUCUUUAUUAAUAAAAGACGUGGCAGAAACCCAUUGCUCCUUCCAAAUUUCUUGGGUCAAUCUCGUGGCUAUCCCCAAUUCUAAGCUGGCUUCAGUUUAACUACUCUGAAAACACGGAGAGGAGCAACAGCAACAGAACCAAGUAGAUAUUUCUUUCAAUGGCUGGAAUUGCUACUACUUGUUAUUAUUUGACCCUCUCUUCUACAAGGUCUACUGCUGCUGCCAAUAAAUUGGAGCAAGCUGGUUUCCAGAAUAUAGCUGCAAGGAUGAUGAAGAUGAUUCUGUUGCCAAGAUGAAGGCAGCUGAGGAAGCCUUGGAAGCAAAACAAAAAGAAUGCAAUUUGGGGCUAAAUAAAAGAAAAAGGAAACAAUUGGGCUAGAUUGAAGAAAGAAGCAAAGAAGGAGGGCCAAAGCAGAAUUUUUCCAAGAAUAAUUAGCUGAAAUUGUUGACUUAGUGGGAGGUUAUUUUGGGAUAUUUUUUAUAUUAUGGAAUAUUUUCCUUUAUUUUCUAUACUAGUUGGCUCUUAAUUUAGUAAGGCCACUAGUAUAAAUAGAGGCUACAUUGUUCAUUUUAAUCAUCAAGCAAUAAAUCAAGCAUUCAUCUUUCAA